AUUGAACGCUGGCGGCAUGCCUUACACAUGCAAGUCGAACGGCAGCACGGGAGCAAUCCUGGUGGCGAGUGGCGAACGGGUGAGUAAUGUAUCGGAACGUGCCUAGUUGUGGGGGAUAACGUAGAGAAAUUUACGCUAAUACCGCAUACGAUCUAUGGAUGAAAGCGGGGGAUCGCAAGACCUCGCGCAGUUAGAGCGGCCGAUAUCAGAUUAGGUUGUUGGUGGGGUAAAAGCUCACCAAGCCGACGAUCUGUAGCUGGUUUGAGAGAACGACCAGCCACACUGGGACUGAGACACGGCCCAGACUCCUACGGGAGGCAGCAGUGGGGAAUUUUGGACAAUGGGGGCAACCCUGAUCCAGCAAUGCCGCGUGCAGGAAGAAGGCCUUCGGGUUGUAAACUGCUUUUGUACGGAACGAAACGGUCCUUUCUAAUACAGAGGGCUAAUGACGGUACCGUAAGAAUAAGCACCGGCUAACUACGUGCCAGCCGCCGCAGUAA
rnacentral:rRNA from 1 species